ACAGCUGGUAAAAAUGGUUCAAGAUAAAACAAAUGUACGUUCAUCUACUUUAGAAGAACAGGUUUCGCAACUCUAUAUUCACUCCACAUUCAUAUGCCCUCUGAGUGAGGGUCUCAUGUCAUGACAGAAAAUGUAAUAAACGAUGAAGAACUUUCACCCAAACCCACAAAAGCCACAUUCCUGAACUAAAGACAGCCUUUGUCUCCAUCUGUCUUUUUCUUUUUUUUCGCGACAAUGGCUCUGAUGGAAACUUCUGAGAAACUACAGGAGCCACAACCCAUCUUGAUUAUAAUCAAUGACAAUGACUGCUCCCCAGAAGAUAAACAUGCCUGGAGUCCCUCAGAUCUGUGUACAAACAGCUCUUGUAGUCUUUUCCUCAAAAUAAUUCCAGGAUGCACAGUUAGGUGAGGACCAUUCCAUUUAAUGGGCUGCAG